rnacentral:rRNA from 1 species
AUUGAACGCUGGCGGCAGGCCUAACACAUGCAAGUCGAACGAGUGGCGGACGGGUGUGUAUUGUGUGGAAAACUGCAUGAUGGAGGGAUAUCACUUCUGGAAACGGUAGCUAAUACCGCAUACCAUCAUAUGCCCCGAGAUGGGAUUAGCUUGUUGGUGGGGUAACGGCUCACCAAGGCGACGAUCCCUAGCUGGUCUGAGAGGAUGACCAGCCACACUGGAACUGAGACACGGUCCAGACUCCUACGGGAGGCAGCAGUGGGGAAUAUUGCACAAUGGGCGCAAGCCUGAUGCAGCCAUGCCGCGUGUAUGAAGAAGGCCUUCGGGUUGUAAAGUACUUUCAGCGGGGAGGCGUUACCCGCAGAAGAAGCACCGGCUAACUCCGUGCCAGCAGCCGCGGUAAUUC